AGCGUAGGUGGCCUAACAUGUCAACUGUGAAAACCCCGGAGCUCAACUCCGGACUUGCAGUUGAAACUGGUAGGCUUGAGGACGGUAGAGGAAGACGGAACUGCCAGUGUAGGGGUAAAAAUCCUCAGAUAUUGGCAGGAACGCCGGUGACGAAGGUGGUUUUCUGGGCCGGUUCUGACACUGAUGCUCGAAAGCCAGGGGAGCGAACG
rnacentral:rRNA from 1 species